GAUGAAGAACGUAGCGAAAUGCGAUAAUUAAUGUGAAUUGCAGAAUUCCGUGAAUCAUCGAGUCUUUGAACGCACAUUGCGCCUCAUGGCAUUCCGUGAGGCAUGCCCAUCUCAGCGUUAGAAAAUAUUCUCAAAUUUUAGUUUUGUGCUAAAAUUUGGAUCAUGUCAAGGAAGCUAUUACUAUUAUUGUGAUCGCUCUUUGGAAAUUGGUAGGUCUUUGAGUUGCUACUCAUAGAACGUGAUGAAUCUUUCUUCGUUCUAUUGUAAUUCACUCUGUUAGUCCUAAAACUUGUAUGCCUGUGGCAUAUCUUGUAAUUUGACCUGAGAUUGGGUAGGGAUACCCGCUGAACUUAAGCAUAUCAAUAAGCGGAGGA
rnacentral:misc_RNA from 1 species